rnacentral:rRNA from 1 species
GUGGGGAAUUUUGGACAAUGGGCGCAAGCCUGAUCCAGCAAUGCCGCGUGCAGGAAGAAGGCCUUCGGGUUGUAAACUGCUUUUGUACGGAACGAAACGGUCCGGGUUAAUACCCUGGGCUAAUGACGGUACCGUAAGAAUAAGCACCGGCUAACUACGUGCCAGCAGCCGCGGUAAUACGUAGGGUGCAAGCGGUAAUCGGAAUUACUGGGCGUAAAGCGUGCGCAGGCGGUUUUGUAAGACAGGCGUGAAAUCCCCGGGCUCAACCUGGGAAUUGCGCUUGUGACUGCAAGGCUGGAGUGCGGCAGAGGGGGAUGGAAUUCCGCGUGUAGCAGUGAAAUGCGUAGAUAUGCGGAGGAACACCGAUGGCGAAGGCAAUCCCCUGGGCCUGCACUGACGCUCAUGCACGAAAGCGUGGGGAGCAAACAGGAUUAGAUACCCGGGUAGUCC